UUGCAGGAGAAACACGAGAACGAGAGAAGAGGAUAAUACAGAGGCGUCCGUUACCGUUAGAAGGUUGGCGAUCUAAGGGCACCCUCGCACGACUUCUCGAAGGAGUUCGCGAAAGACCUGUCGAGAUCAAUUUAGGACGAUCGCCACUGUACUACGGAAAUCGAUACCCUGUUAGCGCGUUGUUUUAAUACUAGAGGUCGGUAGAUUCGUUUUGUAACUGUGGGAAAAGUUGAAUCGAUCGAGGACGAAGCUGUGGCCCCGUUACACCAUCGUUUUUUGCUCUCAUUGAUGGAACUUAUCGAUCUUAAAGAUCGUCUUCUCUAAUUCUCUCUUUUUCUCUCUCUUUCUCUCUUUCUUUUACUCUUUCACACGACAGAUUUAUUUCUCGUGGUAAGGAAGGUACGAUGUUUGCAAAGAGAUAAAUUCGGAGUCAUUCCGAAAAUAGAAAGAUCCACGAUAUCGGUAGAAUAAAAUGGUGCCUACCUCUCGGACUAUGGAUCGACGUUAGGAUGUUGAGAUGGUGGUGAAAGGAAAUAAAAGAAUGUAGUAUGUGCUUCGACGAAGGCGCGAAACGGACGAUUUAAAAGCGAGCGGCCGAUCUAUCGCGUCCACGCGGCGCCAUUGAUCCGCCUUUCAAGAUUUCCAACCGCUUAAGUGCCGUCGAUCGUGAAUCUCCCAGCCUUCGGAGGACAGCGAACGAGCUCUCCUCUUAUCACCGGUUUCGCCUAUGAUAGCCGCCGCGCGCACGAGCGAGUACGAACGAGUAAAAAAGAAGAGAAAAAAGAUACAGAUAGAACGAGAGAGAGACAGAAAGAGAGAGAGAGAGAGAGAGAGAGAGAGAGAGAGAACACUUUGCUACUGGCGGCACAUCGGCAGCACACGGCUUAAGGACAGAUCGAGCCGUGGAAUCUGGCAGAGACGCAUUGCUCGUCCCUUUUCGCGCCUAUCUAUCUACUCGAAGAGAGAACGACGACGACGACGACAACGACGAAGAGGAGAUCCUUUCCCGAACGCAUUGGGAUCGUGCGAAAUUUCACGCUCAAAGCUAUUAUUUGUAAUCUCUUACAACUGGAUAUCUUUCAUUGCCGUAUAAUGCAACGACAAUUCAUAUGGAAAAAGCUCGGCAAGAAUUCCAUUUAGGCGAGUGUCGAUCCGAAGCAACUCGAUCCGAUGUAAGACGACGCCAAAACGUGCUUAGACUUUACCCACAAUUUUCUUUUCCCCGAGAGGCAAAAGUUGUGAUUCCGGCGAAUAAACCAGUCAGCGUCUUGGCAGCAGCAUAACGGCGCAUACCACCGGCUGGCCAGCUUCUAACGAGUACAAGACAUCGGGCUCGAGGUAACACGAGAGGGCCACCAGCAUCGCGAGAG